AUUGAUCGAAGCAAUAAUCGUGAGAUAUAAAGAAAGAAAAAUUUAACAUUAUUAUAUACAGAUGAUGAGAUCUAUCUUCAAGUUAGAUAAUAGUUAUUAACGACUUUAUAAGUUCGUAGACAUUUCCACGAUUAAUCUCACUUCCCGUGAGUGUCCUGAUAUUUAUGAACGAGAGUGUAUGUAUGGUCACACGCGAGCGCGCGUUUUCAGCCGGCUCUCGAGCGGACGUUUUACUCCGCACCGUGGCCUGAAAGAAAAGCCCUAAAUUGCAACGACUCCUCUCUCGUUAUCGUCGAUAGAAUCGUGAACGUCGUUCGCAAGAAGUGACGAUCGACUGCCUUGAUUCCCACCCGGAGCUUGAUGGAAUUGCGAGAAAAAGCGCACGAAGGGAAUUCCUCUUGAAAACAGCGUACUCCGUUCGACCUUGCCCGGGCAAAAGGGAUCGGAAUUCCAUUUCGUCAGACACGAGUGGCAAUCCACAUAUUUCUUCAAAGGAUCGAGAAGUUUAAUUUGACACACGUUGAUCAAUUUUAGACGAAAGCACACGUGGAAUGACUCUGUACUUGUGAAAAAGUUGUGGAAACUAAAUGUACCUACGUGUUUCAUAAAAGCCAAGAAUCUAAAUAGAAUUCUUAGAAUUUAGCACUUUGAAAUUCUACGAACGUUAGACAAUUUUUUCAUCUAUCGGAGCGAAAGAAAUUAUCGUCGGUAUCUGUAGCAUUCAUUCAGAGUUAAUUUGUAUAGAUACGAAUGAGAUAUGAUUCUCCAUUUCUACUAUAAUUCUAAAAUCCAAUUACGUCUGUAAUUGUGAUAGGGUAAGAGACAGAAGAGAUCUAGAUAAAAGAUAUACAAGUUUCUUUUCUGUAUCGUUUGUCAUAACAGAUC
rnacentral:misc_RNA from 1 species